AAUCAGUACAAAAUAAUAAACCAAGCCGUAACCCACGUGGACGUCAAAACAGAGGCGACUCCACCGUGCGCUUGACGUCAUACACUGCAUUCGAAGCCCACGGGAGGUACUAAUUGGUUAAUUAGCUAGCAAUUUACCUUACCUUGAUUUUCUUUUUAUAAUUGCCCAUUCUGAAACCCAAGUUUAUGUAGUUAAAUUGGGCUGAUGAGUUUACAUGAAAGGGAAAAUAUUAUAUGCUAAUUGAUGCUGGAAUAAAGACUGCAGUAAAGUCUUGAGGGAGACCUGUAACAGUGGACCAUGCCCCAGACAGUGAGUAACCCCCCGGGCUUGUGCAUUAGUGCCAAAACCAUUCCAGAGAGAGAGACGAUAUAUUCAUGCACUGGCGCCACAGACCCUGUUCCAGAGAGGAAGGUGAUGUAUUCAGGCAAUGGUAUACUGGACCCUGCUCCAGACCGUAGGUACAGGCAGGCCUAUUCUUCCAGGUAUAGGUGGAAAUGGAGGAGGAAGUCAAAAAAAGAAACACAGCCGUUGCCGCCAGCCCCACCUCUGCCACCGUAUGAGGAAGAAAACUGGGAGGAGGAGAUGGGAAUCGUUGAGACAUAUGGAUUUGCUCCAUAUGGACUUUUUCAUGGAGGGUGGUGUUCAGUGAUACCAAAUUGGAGAAGACAUUUUGCUGAAACAGAGGUGCUAGAGGACUUGUUCAGCCCAGAGGAUGUGGAUAGAGUGGCCCUACAGGGGUUGACCCUGAACCAGCCCCCCUGCCCUCCCCACCCCCAGACAGCAACCGACUACAGCCCUGCCACGCACCACCAAGCCCCCAUCAAAUGGGUCUGCCACAUCAUCUGCAUCGUGAAGGAGCAGUUUGUCGACGCAGAGGUUUGAGGAUUAUUUUCCUGCUGUAGCAAACUGUCGACCCCCUCCCACCCUCUACACCCUCAGUUGGAGAGACUUGCCUCUGGCCGGCGCUUCACAAUGCCCAUAGCCAAGAAGAACGUGUUCAAACAUUCCUUCUUUCCUUGUGCUUAUGGACUACUAAAUGCAAAGUAAAUUGUAUCAGUAUAUGCACUUCUCUAUCCAGUGCAGUUUGGGACAGCGCUCAGUUGUGAGUGAACAUAUCAAUGUCCGCUAUGUUUUUAGUGUAUGAAAUGUGAUGGACUGACUGGUUUAAAUGUGUAUGAUGUGAAAAUGUAUGUGAUCCCUUUAAUGGAAGGUGAUGCCAAUGACCAACAACAUCCAUCUGAACAUACAUGAACAAAGUGUUAUUCUAAAUUUAAGAUCCUACAUCUGUAGGCCAAUCUACAUUCUACAGUGCAGAUCUAGACAAAACAUCUGUAGGCCAAUGUACAUUCUACAGUGCAGAUCUAGACAAAACGUCUGUAGGCCAAUCUACAUUCUACAGUGCAGAUCUAGACAAAACGUCUGGAGGCCAAUCUACAUUCUACAGUGCAGAUCUAGACAAAACGUCUGGAGGCCAAUCUACAUUCUACAGUGCAUAUCUAGACAAAACAUCUGUAGGCCAAUCUACAUUCUACAGUGCAGAUCUAAACAAAACAUAGCGUUGAGCUGGAUACACAUAUGACCAUUGAAUGAUUGCUGUGAAUCACUUCAACCCUCCGAACACACACACACACAUGCUAAUGUGGCGGGUACGUCACACACACUGGUCUGAACAUGCAGUAGAAUAGAUAGCUAGUGUAGUACCUCUGUAAUGUGUCCCCUGUCUGUUGUGCAUGUGGAGCUGCCAGCAUUGUUCGCUGGACGCUGACAGCUGUGUGUACUUAUCAAGAAUAAACACAGCUCACAGAUCUUGGACACAUUCGCAUGGGAAGAAGAGGAGAGAAGGCAGAAGGGAGUGACUCAAGCCUGUUGUCCACCUACAACUCUGCUCCAUUGACAUUAACAUGUAUCUCAAAGGGGGGGUGUUUUUAGAAUACAUGUCGGUUUUAGCCUCCCGAUUAUCUGCUUUAUCUUACAGCUCUCUGGGGGCUGGCUUGCUCUGUGUCUGGCAGUAGUGCUAGGGGAAGUACAGAUGAGGAGUGUCUGCAUAGUUGACAAUCCUGGGCUGGUCCCACUGGGCUGUGUGAGUGAGUGGGCCUUCUGAUGCAGCUCCAGGGUGGGGCUCGUGGACUGUCUGAAUGGUCCUCCAGGGUGGGGCUCGUGGACUGUCUGAAUGGUCCUCCAGGGUGGGGCUCGUGGACUGUCUGAAUGGUCCUCCAGGGUGGGGCUCGUGGACUGUCUGAAUGGUCCUCCAGGGUGGGGCUCGUGGACUGUCUGAAUGGUCCUCCAGGGUGGGGCUCGUGGACUGUCUGAAUGGUCCUCCAGGGUGGGGCCCGUGGACUGUCUGAAUGGUUCUCCAGGGUGGGGCUCGUGGACUGUCUGAAUGGUCCUCCAGGGUGGGGCUCUCCUCGCCAGCCUCCCACUCGUCUAAGAGUUAUUGGUACUGUAGGUUUUAUCACAAAAUGAGUCUAUAGGACACUCCGUUUGGCCAUAUGGGUAAUACCAACAGACCACAUUGUAUCACUGCACUAUAAGUUAGGCUAAGUCAGCACAGUGAAUGGGACUCAAUGUAUGGUUUCGCCUCCGUGUGAACCAGGAAGAUGACUCUGUAAGGUAACAGCUGAAGCGCGUUGCCUGAAAUGCAUUUAAACAUGACUUAAUGCACCACUUCAACUCCACUCUGAAGUGUUAGACCUUUUGGUAGUCGGAGAAAGCAGGGUGCUUGUCAUGCUUGGUAUGCUGGUGACUCAUCAGCAGAGUGUCUGUGAAAGGGAAAGGGGGAUACUUAGUCAAUUGUACAACUGAAUACAUUCAACUGAAAGGUGUGUAACUCGUGUUUUCUGUAUGUAUGUGUGUGUGUGUCAGUCCUCUUGUCGGUAUAAGUGGGAAGUCACCCAGUCAAAGAGAUGGAGGUAAACAAGGUUAGAAGAUUUGCACAUUGCUUUUCCCCUCAGCCUAGAGAGCUCUCUCUCUCUCUCAUUUAUAUAUUUGCUUUGCAUGGGAGAUGGAGUGUCAUUGGUUUUACAUAGCAGCUGAAAUCUCAGGUUUUGCCGUGUGUGUGUGUGUGUGUGUGUGUGUGUGUGUGUGUGUGUGUGUGUGUCAUAGAAGCAGGUGUCUGGAUCCUCACCUAGACAGCGAUUCUUCACACUUCUCCUGUUAAACCUCACAGAUCCCCAUGCCUGUCAUUUUAUUCUUAUGGCUUACUGUGUGUGUUGAGCUGCAAGCUGUAACUCGAUAAGCUAAUUCUACCCCCAUUUUAAUUUGGGGCUCCCAAGGAACCUCAUGCAGAGUGGCUAGAUGCAUUACCGUGACAGCAAAGCGUAUGUCCCAUAAUAUAAAACUCAAGUUGUGACACUUGAGGCCUUUUACCUUUGUACACACUGGACUCCAACACCUCUUUAUUCGCUGACUUCAUCAUGACAGUGCGUCAGACAACACAUUAACACAUCCCACAGCUGCUUCUGUCACAUUUCACCUGGCUAGAAGCUACCAUAGACAAGUGAUUCCACCAUGUUAAAUACCAUUUAGUACAGUUACAACACAACCAGGCCUUUUCAUAUCAGUCUGUUGGUGAACCCAGUCCCCUGUACUGCACACAGUUUCUUAAGUGUUCCUUAAAUAUAAAGGGCUCUGGGUGGUUGGCCUGGUGCCAGCUUGGGUUGCCUGCCUGGGGUUUUCCUCUUAAUGACUCUGCCUUGUGAUCAGCCAGUCAACCAGCUGUCAGGCCCUGACCAUAGAGAGCCCUUGUUUCUCUAUGGUGUAGUAGGUCAGGGCGUGACUAGGGGGUGUUCUAGUUUAACAUUUCUAUGUUGGUGUUUUGGUAUGGUUCCCAAUUAGAGGCAGCUGGUAAUCGUUGCCUCUAAUUGGGGAUCAUAUUUAAGUAGCAAUUUUUUCCACCUGUGUUUGUGGGAUAUUGUUUUGUGUAUAGUGCAUGUAGCACCACGUAGUCACGUUUCGUUGUUCGUUUAUUGAUUUAUUGUUUUUGCUUAAGUUUCACUGAAAUAAAUAUGUGGAACUCAGAGCACGCUGCGACUUGGUCCCAUUCUUGUAACACCAGCCAACACUGUAUACUUCCCUUCCCCUCAAUUUGAUUUCACCCCCCUUUUACAUGCGUUCAAUAUAAUAGUUUGAUUAAAAUGUCGACAUGCUUUGCAAGAAGAAUGAUUUCCCUUAUAAUCAGGAGAACGGUUCAGAAUGUUAGGGAUCAAUGACAAAUCCAUCUAAAUAUAUGCACAUUCCCC
rnacentral:lncRNA from 1 species